rnacentral:rRNA from 1 species
UACGUAGGGUGCGAGCGUUGUCCGGAAUUAUUGGGCGUAAAGGGCUCGUAGGCGGUUUGUCGCGUCGGGAGUGAAAAUCCAGGGCUUAACCCUGGGCUGGCUUUCGAUACGGGCAGACUAGAGGUAUGCAGGGGAGAACGGAAUUCCUGGUGUAGCGGUGAAAUGCGCAGAUAUCAGGAGGAACACCGGUGGCGAAGGCGGUUCUCUGGGCAUUACCUGACGCUGAGGAGCGAAAGUGUGGGGAGCGAACAGG